rnacentral:rRNA from 1 species
UACGUAGGUGGCAAGCGUUGUUCGGAAUUAUUGGGCGUAAAGGGCGCGUAGGCGGCUUGUUAAGUCGGUUGUGAAAGCCCGGGGCUCAACCCCGGAAAGUCGACCGAUACUGCGCGGCUAGAGUGCGGAAGGGGCAACUGGAAUUCUCGGUGUAGCGGUGAAAUGCGUAGAUAUCGAGAGGAACACCUGCGGCGAAGGCGGGUUGCUGGGCCGACACUGACGCUGAAGCGCGAAAGCCAGGGGAGCGAACGGG